rnacentral:misc_RNA from 1 species
UCUUGUAUUGAGUGUGGAUGAGACGGUUAAGAACCCUAAGGUAAAGUGAAUAGCAUGUUAAAUUUAGCUGCUUAUAUUGGAAGUUAUAUUUAGCUGCUCAUUUUCAGGCUACCUAGUAUAAUGCAUAAAUGCUUUUAUCUGAAAGUGUUAUAUAUUUUUUACUCUGAAUUCAGUGCAUGUAGCUGUCCUGCCUGGUUUCUUGGUUUCACUGUGCCACUAGUAGUAGAGCAUAAAAAUAUUAGGACUAGACACUAGACAGUAAAUGAAAUACAGACUAAAGCAAUUGAAUGUUAAUGUAGUAAGUUUUUGGUGAACAUUGCAUGAAAAGGUUCAUGCCUUUGCAUUUCUCUGUCAUUACACUGAAUAAUGUGAGAAGGGAGUUAUCAAGUGAAUGUCUUGAUAUUCUAUUCAAUUAGUAACAAUCUUUACUGAUGAUUUUAAGUAAUUGAAGCUCUUAUAAUUGAUGUACUUGAGAAAUCAGUUAGGAUCAUACAACGGUGUUUUCUAUAGAUGCAUUACCUUUAUUUUGAUUCCUUUGAUCAAGCAUUUCUUAUUUGUCUAAUUGAAUGAUAUGCUGCAAAAAUAAUUUUAAACUCGACUUACUAGGUAAACUGAAAAAGCCAUGUCAAUCUCUUUAACCAGUUAAACCCUAGCUAUUCAUGAGCAGCACAUGCACUAUAGAUGGUGUUUUGUUUGAUCUUGCUGCUAGCCUCCUAUUAUUAUUUGUUAAAAAAAAACUGUUAUGAGGAAAUAUACUGAUAGAGUUGGGAACCAUAGAAUGAACUGAGAAAAUAUGGAAUGAAAUUGCAUUGAUAUUUGCUCUCUUCAAGAGUACAGCAAAUUUAGAGCAAUUAAGAGAUAUUCAAUACAAUGACUCUCUAAUACAACUCUCUCCCAAACCACAAUAACAAACGAAGAAAAUAACAAACGAAGAAAAGAAAAAUUACCAUCCAAGGAAUUUGGCAAAUUCGCUUGGCCCCAGCUGUCAGCCUAAACUUUCAGUAGAAAUCUCCUUUCCCCCUUUUUCCUUCUCUUCUUCUUUAUUCAUAAAUUUCCCUCCACGUGCCAUUCUGUUUCACUCUGCCAGCAUCCCACAUUCCUUCUAGAAAUUUCUGCCACCUCGUUUCUUCUGGAACCUUCUUUUAGCUCCUCUCUUUCAGCUCUCUUGGGCCUUCUUGGCUUCUCCUGUAAACUUUCAAGCUUCCCAAGCCCUUCAUCUGAUCCAUAUCAUUUAACUUAUUAUUCAUUGUAAUGAUGAAAUAUGCUGCAAAAUAAUACAUAUUCGAUUAACUUAGCCAUCUUGUAAUUAAGAAGUGUCCUAAAUAUUUUCCUAUUAGUUGAUUUUUUUAUUGGAUUAGAAUAUAUAUCAAAGCCUACUGAAGCUUAGAUGUCAUGUGCUUGAAUUAAAAUUUCAACUUUCUGAUGGUUUCCGUUUUUUAAAUCUAUAGUCUGAAAGUGCUCAGGGAGAAG